rnacentral:ncRNA from 1 species
UGAUAGAGGCGCGGUUGAGAAGAGUACCUGUAUGCGUAACAGACACAGCAUAAGAUGAGUGCAUACAGCGAAAGGCGAAGCCGCCGAGGAGCUGGAAAUGUAGGUCUGACGUUUCUGGUAUCCGGUACAGCGGAGAAGAUCGGUUGUACUGUCGCCGGAUAAAGGCGGAGAGCUGUCUG